UACGAGGGGGGCGAGCGUUGUUCGGAAUUAUUGGGCGUAAAGGGUGCGUAGGCGGCCUGACAAGUCUGAUGUGAAAUCCCUGGGCUCAACCCAGGGCCUGCAUCGGAAACUGUCAAGCUUGAGUCCGGAAGAGGCGAGUGGAAUUCCUGGUGUAGCGGUGAAAUGCGCAGAUAUCAGGAGGAACACCAAUGGCGAAGGCAGCUCGCUGGGACGGUACUGACGCUGAGACGCGAAAGCGUGGGGAGCAAACAGG
rnacentral:rRNA from 1 species